AGAAUAAUAAACCAAGCUCAUGCAAUAGACAAUCUGCUUCUAUAAUGUGCUAACAUUUCUGUGUUGUGGCACGCAGUAUAUAUUCUAAUCUCAUUACUUAUGUGGAUUUCUUCCAUAGACCUCUCUUACUGUAUUCCCCAAUGUUUAUUGUAAUUUUCUGAAGAAAAAGUCCAUCUGCUACUUCAUUGAAUCAACAGACAUUAAUAGAGUCCUUAUUAAGUGCCAAGCAAGUGCUGUGCCAGACUCUGAAGUUGCAAAGAUUUGAGUGUUUCUGCUAUUUCCUCCAUUACCAUCACUAAAGAAAAUGCUGCUGCUGCCUCUCAUAAAAAUGAGGAUAACGCUGGAUAACAUUUAUUGAGUGCUUACCUCCUCCCAGAUGUCAGGCAUUUUGUCCCAGUGAAGAGAAAGUGACUAAUACUUGAAAAAUAAAAAGAAGGCAUGCUGCUUGAACCAGUUUUUUUUUUAUUAAUUGUAAUAAACUCCAUAGGACCAAUUUUAUUUUCUCACAUGUUGGAGUGAUUAUUUUGGCAUUUUCACUUCAAAAAUUUCUAUGCCAUUUUCCCCCAUCUGUAAGAAUCAGUUGUUACAGAAUAUUUAAAUAUUUCUGAAAUUAGCACAUACUUCAUAUCUUGAAGCAUUUUGGAUUUGAAUAAUUAAAGGUAUAUAUAUUAAUAGAAUUUAAAGAUUACCUGUACAUUUAAAAAAAUUACAAAAAUAUUGAAUUAUGGUACUAUCUCAUGGUCAGAAAAAAAGAAAAAAUCCUUUUUCAUAUAAAUUUUGAAUUAAUCAUCAAACUUCUUUUUGGUUUCUUUUCAUUUCUUUUGUCUUGUGAUGCUAAGGCACCUGCCACAUUCUAGAUCCAAUUUGCAAGUCCUGGAAUGAUUCAGUUCCUUUUGUUACACUGCUAUCACAUAUGCUCAAGAUAUCAGGCCUGUGUUUGAGAAGUAGCUGGCAAGAAUUUUUCCCCCUGUGCAGAUGGUCUCUUCACUCUGUUGGUGGUUAAAGAGGCUACCUUUCCUCCAGUGAAGAGAUUUGGCCCCUUUGUCAAGGAUAACAUAGCUGAGUGUGCCUGGAGUUGUUUCUGUAUCUUCCAUUCUGUUCUGUUGAUCUUGCUGGGGAUCAAGCUCUGAAAAGAAGGCUUAAUAUGGACAGGACCCUCACAUAAAAUGAAAGAGAUAUCCAUCCCACCAAAUGAACAGAUAUCAAUAUAGAAACACAAAAGUAGGCAAAAAUGAAGCAGUAUAACUCCAUCAAAUGCCUAUAAUUUGUCAGUAACUGAAAGCAAACAUAUCAAAGUGGAUGAAAUCUCAAAGAAAACAAAAGAUUGAUCUGUAAAAUGAUUAAUGACUUCAAAGAAGAUACAAAUAAAUGACUGAAUGAAUUAAGGAGGAUAAUGCAGAAUAUGAAGGAGCAAUUCAACAAAGAGAUAGGGAUUCUGAAGAAGAACCAAACAGAAAUUCUGGAAAUAAAAAAGCACAAUAAGUCAAAUUUAAAAACUCAGUGAAAAGCCUCAUCAAUAGAUGAGACCAAGCAGAAGAUAAGAAUUCAGGGCUUGAUGAUAAGGUUGAGAAAUUAGUACAGGCAGACACUAAUAGAAAAAAAUAUUAUAAACAAAAUAUCCAAGAACUCUGAGAUGCAGUUGAAAAAACAAAUGUACAAAUGUUGGGUGUGGAACAGGCUACAUAGAUACAAACUAAUGAUUAUUCAG
rnacentral:lncRNA from 1 species